rnacentral:lncRNA from 1 species
GACGGUGAAUACGUAUUCCACACUCGUAAGGGACCUCCCAAUAAUAUCCACUCCCCUAGCAAAUCCACUUGAGAAUUUCAACUAUAACCUCUUCAAGAUUACAGUUCGAUUAUUUUUAUGGAUUCACAAUCCAAUCAAGUUGGUUUUCACUGAUUCACUAAUCAAAAUCUCACAACUUCUUGUUUAUUUUUCGAGCUUACACUCAAUUUUAAUUGAUUUUUUCGGAGAUACUAAUCAAAACCA